CCGUUCUUAGCCGGCCGCCAGGAAGCCUCAUCUGCAGUCUCAAUUCAUUAAAACCCCAAAAGUUCUUUUCUCUUACCUAUUUCUUCUACCUCCCAACCGCCGAUACCCCUCCAACCUCCAUGACCACUUAAAAUCACAUCACCAAUCCUUCACAAACCUUCUCCCAUUGUUCCACCCUAUCUCGCCGACAACCCUUCCUCUCACCUACUUCCCCUCCACCGUCCAACCGAGUGGAUAGUUCCUCAAACAAAAAAAUAAAUAAAUUAGUUCGUGACUAUUUUUUUUGCAAUAAAUUAACUAAAUUAGUUCCUCAAACAUCCCCACUGAUACCCACCCUUUUCACCCACCGAUCACCCUCCUUAUCACCUAUUCCCACCUUUAUCCACUAACAUCACCUAAACUUUCAUCACAAAUCAAGUUUUUUUCCACACACAACCCUCAAACACCCGAUUCCAUCCAUCAUUCUACCAUUUUUUUCCUCAUAAACAUCGAAUUCAGCUGUGGGGAUCAAGGUUCAACCGAAUUUUCUUCUCGUUUUUCUUAUUUCAAGCGAAUCUCAGGAUGCCAGGUGAAGGUUCCUCGUCAGGCACCAAACGCAGGCAAGGUGCUUCCACGAGAUCUCAGGGGGCUGCUCAGGAGCAGCCGACUGAUUUACCACUGAGAGUAGUCAGUUAUCGUGGAGCAGGGUUUGAGAUGAGGAGUAGAUGGUGUGGAUUGAGGAUGAUGCAGCAGUGAUUGAGCAUAUCUUUUUGUUAUAUUUUUCUUUUAUGCUGUUUUCAUCAUAUCUUGGUCUGUACUAAUAUUUUAAACAGGUUGGAUGGGUUUUGGGGUUGGUUGAUACACUUGUGGAUGGUUGUUGAACGUGAUAUUACAUAUUAUCUUUUGCUAGUGUUUGGUGUUUGAGUGAUUA